GAUACUUCUUCAGAAGACGGUGCCUAGAAUGAUUUUUGGGCAAGACAGUUUGAGCUUGUACCCCAAGACUGCGUUCUUUGGAACUCUGUUCUUUGUCCAGUAUUCAAGGCUGUUCGACCGCAUCUUGUUCACCACCAUGAGAACAAUUAUAUUGACAGAGAAGUGUCUCUGACUAAAAAGUA